GCGCCCGUAGCUUAAUGGACAGAGUUGGUGGCUUCGGACCACUAGGUGGAGGUUCAAUUCCUCCCGGGCGCA
rnacentral:tRNA from 1 species